rnacentral:siRNA from 1 species
UCGAGAGCUAACGAUAAUGGAGA